rnacentral:rRNA from 1 species
UACGUAGGUCCCGAGCGCUGUCCGGAUUUAUUGGGCGUAAAGCGAGCGCAGGUGGUUUAUUAAGUCUGGUGUAAAAGGCAGUGGCUCAACCAUUGUAUGCAUUGGAAACUGGUAGGCUUGAGUGCAGGAGAGGAGAGUGGAAUUCCAUGUGUAGCGGUGAAAUGCGUAGAUAUAUGGAGGAACACCGGUGGCGAAAGCGGCUCUCUGGCCUGUAACUGACACUGAGGCUCGAAAGCGUGGGGAGCAAACAGG